rnacentral:rRNA from 1 species
GACGAACGCUGGCGGCGUGCCUAAUACAUGCAAGUAGAACGCUGAAGGAGGAGCUUGCUCUUCUGGAUGAGUUGCGAACGGGUGAGUAACGCGUAGGUAACCUGCCUGGUAGCGGGGGAUAACUAUUGGAAACGAUAGCUAAUACCGCAUAAUAGUAGAUGUUGCAUGAUAUUUACUUAAAAGGUGCAAUUGCACCACUACCAGAUGGACCUGCGUUGUAUUAGCUAGUUGGUGGGGUAACGGCUCACCAAGGCGACGAUACAUAGCCGACCUGAGAGGGUGAUCGGCCACACUGGGACUGGGACACGGCCCAGACUCCUACGGGAGGCAGCAGUAGGGAAUCUUCGGCAAUGGACGAAAGUCUGACCGAGCAACGCCGCGUGAGUGAAGAAGGUUUUCGGAUCGUAAAGCUCUGUUGUAAGAGAAGAACGAGUGUGAGAGUGGAAAGUUCACACUGUGACGGUAUCUUACCAGAAAGGGACGGCUAACUACGUG